rnacentral:tRNA from 1 species
AUAGAAAUUUAGGUUAACACUAAAACCAAGAACCUUCAAAGUUCUAAAUAGGGAACACACCCCUAAUUUC